GUAUGGAGCAAGCGUUAUCCGGAUUUACUGGGUGUAAAGGGAGCGUAGGCGGUCCUGCAAGUCUGAUGUGAAAGGCCGGGGCUCAACCCCGGGACUGCAUUGGAAACUGUAGGACUAGAGUGUCGGAGGGGUAAGUGGAAUUCCUAGUGUAGCGGUGAAAUGCGUAGAUAUUAGGAGGAACACCAGUGGCGAAGGCGGCUUACUGGACGACUACUGACGCUGAGGUGCGAAAGCGUGGGUAGCAAACAGGAUUAGAUACCCUGGUAGUCCACGCUGUAAACGAUGGGUGCUGGGUGCUGGGAUGUAUGUCUCGGUGCCGUAGCUAACGCGAUAAGCACCCCGCCUGGGGAGUACAGUCGCAAGGCUGAAACUCAAAGGAAUUGACGG
rnacentral:rRNA from 1 species